rnacentral:rRNA from 1 species
CCUACGGGAGGCAGCAGUGAGGAAUAUUGGUCAAUGGCCGUAAGGCUGAACCAGCCAAGUCGCGUGAAGGAAGAAGGAUCUAUGGUUUGUAAACUUCUUUUAUAGGGGAAUAAAGUUAUCCACGUGUGGAUAUUUGCAUGUACCCUAUGAAUAAGCAUCGGCUAACUCAGUGCCAGCAGCCGCGGUAAUACGGAGGAUGCGAGCGUUAUCCGGAUUUAUUGGGUUUAAAGGGUGCGUAGGUUGUUUUUUAAGUCAGCGGUGAAAGUUUGUGGCUCAACCAUAAGAUUGCCGUUGAUACUGGAAGACUUGAGUGUGUUUGAGGUAGGCGGAAUGCGUGGUGUAGCGGUGAAAUGCUUAGAUAUCACGAAGAACUCCGAUUGCGAAGGCAGCUUACUAAACUGCCACUGACAUUGAUGCUCGAAAGUGUGGGUAUCAAACAGGAUUAGAUACCCUUGUAGUC